rnacentral:rRNA from 1 species
AGCUCCAAUAGCGUAUAUUAAUAUUGUUGCGGUUAAAAAGCUCAUAGUUUAAACUUGAACAGCAGUUGCUUCGGUCUCCCGGCUAGUGCUUCGUGCGCUUCCGGGCUUGUAUGGUCGAACAGCAGUGUGGUUCGUCAUUGAUGUUUGCCGGUCGUCUCUUCGGAAGCGUGCCGUUUGCAGCAUCAGCGAUUACUUUGACUAAAUCAGAGUGAUCAAAACAGGCUCGUUUUGCACGGCCUUGAGUGCUCUAGCAUGGAAUAAUAGAAAAGGACUCGUUUGGUCCGAUGGUGUAAAGCCAACUAUGGUCUUCGGUACCUCGAGUAAUGAUUAAAAGGGAUUGACGGGGGCAGUCGUAUUGCUGGGCUAGCGGUGAAAUGCAAUGACCCUGGUAAGACGUCCGAAAGCGAAAGCAUCUGCCUAGGAUGUUUUCA